UAAUGAUGAGAAUCUUGGUCAAAUGAAUGUAGAUGGUGUCAUCCUUGUAUCUGGACGGUUUGAGGGGGUAAGUGAGCUUCCUGGGAAUCUUCUUAAUGGGCUGGAAGGUGCUGAUGUCGUGCAUAGACUGAAGGAAAAAGAGCUGUUGGAGUUUUAAUGCUUGAGACUCCAAAUAAGGCAAGUUGAAGUAAAUGAGGAUCCUCCUGAUCCAAUGGUUGCUGGUGCAUGGUAUGAACUUGCAGAACUCCUCCUGGACUUCUAGAAUAUCUCCUGAUUGGUUAAAAUGAUAUCCUGGUCGCCAAUGUCUGGUUUGAAGCUGAUUGAACCGGCUAGCUUCCAAUUGAGGCA
rnacentral:lncRNA from 1 species